ACUCCUGUGAGCCUCAGCGUGAGACUCCACUCAGGCAAGACUGUGGUGUGUGCUGGACGCUGCUGUUCUCUCUGUGUCCAACUUUUGCUGUUCUCUCCAUUCUCCUCUCCUGUUUUCUGGUUUAUUGUCAGAAAAAAGCAAAAGAACCUGAAGCUGAUCAGCAAAGACCUCAAACAAGACAAACAAGACUAAAUCAGGAUGAAGAUGUGUGUUAUGCUACAGUGGAAAUCCGUCAAGCAUCACAGAGACCAAAGAAGAAGAAAUCCCAGAGUUCUGACUUCUGCACAUAUUCUGCCAUCAAUACAUCUAGGAUGUAGAGAGUCUAAAGAACAGAAAAGAAACAUAAUAAACUGUACAAUGAUGAAUGGUAUAAUUAACUCAGGAUAUGGAUAGACAAUUCUGUUACUUAUCGCAGGGUGGGAUUUUCGCAGGCUACCAGCAGCAGUUAUUUAGCUGCCAUCAGGUGACUGUGAGCCGGCUACAGGCACCGCCAGAUGAUGGUCCUUUCAGGGGCCAUGGUAGUUGAGUUUAGAAAACCUACUUGUUGUUGUUGUUGAUAACAAUUUAGCUUUACUUUAAUGAUUGAAAUGUAUUUCUGUAACAAGACAUGAUUGCUGUUUUCAGACAAUUUCUUGUUUUUAUCUCAAGUUAGCCAUCAGCCCCCACCUACCCUUCACUGGUGCAGUUUGAUAUAACUCCAAGUAUUUGUUAUGCUGGAUCUCAUUUUGCUAAAGCGAAUAAAAUAUAUUUUAAAGUACAUCACAGAAAAGCCAACUUGGCUUACUUUGCUUAUUUAUUUAAAGGAUGGCUCUGUCGCAGUUUACAAGAAGUUAAAAGGCAACACAAAGGUGUCAGUAAAGCCAACCUCCGCCACAUCAUGUAAGACCUUGUGGUCAGUAAAGCUCACAGGAAACUCACAGUAACAAACAGCCCCUCAUACAGCUGCAGAGCUGAACGUGCCAACAGACUGACGCAGCAGAUUAGUGUACAGCUUCACUGUCCACAGUUGACAGUGCAUGUUGAGAAUACAGAUAAUUCUUCAAAAAGAUGCAAUCACACACAAACCAGU